rnacentral:rRNA from 1 species
UACGAAGGGGGCUAGCGUUACUCGGAAUCACUGGACGUAAAGCGCACGUAGGCGGAUUGUUAAGUCAGGGGUGAAAUCCUGGAGCUCAACUCCAGAACUGCCUUUGAUACUGGCGAUCUCGAGUCCGGGAGAGGUGAGUGGAACUGCGAGUGUAGAGGUGAAAUUCGUAGAUAUUCGCAAGAACACCAGUGGCGAAGGCGGCUCACUGGCCCGGUACUGACGCUGAGGUGCGAAAGCGUGGGGAGCAAACAGG